rfam:Salmo salar isolate Sally breed double haploid chromosome ssa09, whole genome shotgun sequence.
GGCCCUGUGGCUCAGUUGGUAGAGCAUGGUGUUUGCAACGCCAGCAUGGUGUUGCAACGCUAGGGUUGUGGGUUCGAUUCCCAUGGGGGGCCA